UACGUAGGGGGCAAGCGUUGUCCGGAAUCAUUGGGCGUAAAGAGCGUGUAGGCGGCUCGGUAAGUCCGCUCUGAAAGCCCGGGGCUCAACCCCGGGAGGCGGGCGGAUACUGUCGGGCUAGAGUCCGGAAGGGGCGAGUGGAAUUCCUGGUGUAGCGGUGAAAUGCGCAGAUAUCAGGAGGAACACCAAUGGCGAAGGCAGCUCGCUGGGACGGUACUGACGCUGAGACGCGAAAGCGUGGGGAGCAAACAGG
rnacentral:rRNA from 1 species